UACGAAGGGGGCUAGCGUUGCUCGGAAUCACUGGGCGUAAAGCGCACGUAGGCGGAUUGUUAAGUCGGGGGUGAAAUCCUGGAGCUCAACUCCAGAACUGCCUUCGAUACUGACGAUCUCGAGUCCGGGAGAGGUGAGUGGAACUCCGAGUGUAGAGGUGAAAUUCGUAGAUAUUCGGAAGAACACCAGUGGCGAAGGCGGCUCACUGGCCCGGUACUGACGCUGAGGCGCGAAAGCGUGGGAGCAAACAGGG
rnacentral:rRNA from 1 species